rnacentral:rRNA from 1 species
AACGCGAAGAACCUUACCUGGGCUCGAACGGCUUCGGACCAUCCUUGGAAACAGGGACUUCCCGCAAGGGACUGGAGUCGAGGUGCUGCAUGGCUGUCGUCAGCUCGUGUCGUGAGAUGUUGGGUUAAGUCCCGCAACGAGCGCAACCCUUGUCCUGUGUUGGCAUGCCGCAAGGCGCAACUCUCAGGAGACCGCCAGCGAUAAGUUGGAGGAAGGUGGGGAUGACGUCAAGUCAUCAUGGCCUUUAUGUCCAGGGCCACACACGUGCUACAAUGGCCGGUACAAACCGCUGCAACCCCGCGAGGGUGAGCUAAUCGGAAAAAGCCGGCCUCAGUUCGGAUUGGAGUCUGCAACUCGACUCCAUGAAGCUGGAAUCGCUAGUAAUCGUGGAUCAGCAUGCCACGGUGAAUACGUUCCCGGGCCUUGUACACACCGAGACGUA